rnacentral:rRNA from 1 species
GAUGAACGCUGGCGGCGUGCCUAAUACAUGCAAGUCGAGCGAACAGACGAGGAGCUUGCUCCUCUGACGUUAGCGGCGGACGGGUGAGUAACACGUGGAUAACCUACCUAUAAGACUGGGAUAACUUCGGGAAACCGGAGCUAAUACCGGAUAAUAUAUUGAACCGCAUGGUUCAAUAGUGAAAGACGGUUUUGCUGUCACUUAUAGAUGGAUCCGCGCCGCAUUAGCUAGUUGGUAAGGUAACGGCUUACCAAGGGAACGAUUCGUAGCCGACCUGAGAGGGUGAUCGGACACACUGGAACUGAGACACGGUCCAGACUCCUACGGGAGGCAGCAGUAGGGAAUCUUCCGCAAUGGGCGAAAGCCUGACGGAGCAACGCCGCGUGAGUGAUGAAGGUCUACGGAUCGUAAAACUCUGUUAUUAGGGAAGAACAAAUGUGUAAGUAACUAUACACGUCUUGACGGUACCUAAUCAGAAAGCCACGGCUAACUACGUG